rnacentral:rRNA from 1 species
UUAAGUUAUUAAGGGCGCACGGUGGAUGCCUUGGCACUAGAAGCCGAUGAAGGACGUUACUAACGACGAUAUGCUUUGGGGAGCUGUAAGUAAGCUUUGAUCCAGAGAUUUCCGAAUGGGGAAACCCAGCAUGAGUUAUGUCAUGUUAUCGAUAUGUGAAUACAUAGCAUAUCAGAAGGCACACCCGGAGAACUGAAACAUCUUAGUACCCGGAGGAAGAGAAAGAAAAUUCGAUUCCCUUAGUAGCGGCGAGCGAAACGGGAAGAGCCCAAACCAACAAGCUUGCUUGUUGGGGUUGUAGGACACUCUAUACGGAGUUACAAAGGACGACAUUAGACGAAUCAUCUGGAAAGAUGAAUCAAAGAAGGUAAUAAUCCUGUAGUCGAAAAUGUUGUCUCUCUUGAGUGGAUCCUGAGUACGACGGARCACGUGAAAUUCCGUCGGAAUCUGGGAGGACCAUCUCCUAAGGCUAAAUACUCUCUAGUGACCGAUAGUGAACCAGUACCGUGAGGGAAAGGUGAAAAGCACCCCGGAAGGGGAGUGAAAUAGAACCUGAAACCGUGUGCUUACAAGUAGUCAGAGCCCGUUAAUGGGUGAUGGCGUGCCUUUUGUAGAAUGAACCGGCGAGUUACGAUUUGAUGCAAGGUUAAGCAGUAAAUGUGGAGCCGUAGCGAAAGCGAGUCUGAAUAGGGCGUUUAGUAUUUGGUCGUAGACCCGAAACCAGGUGAUCUACCCUUGGUCAGGUUGAAGUUCAGGUAACACUGAAUGGAGGACCGAACCGACUUACGUUGAAAAGUGAGCGGAUGAACUGAGGGUAGCGGAGAAAUUCCAAUCGAACCUGGAGAUAGCUGGUUCUCUCCGAAAUAGCUUUAGGGCUAGCCUCAAGUGAUGAUUAUUGGAGGUAGAGCACUGUUUGGACGAGGGGCCCCUCUCGGGUUACCGAAUUCAGACAAACUCCGAAUGCCAAUUAAUUUAACUUGGGAGUCAGAACAUGGGUGAUAAGGUCCGUGUUCGAAAGGGAAACAGCCCAGACCACCAGCUAAGGUCCCAAAAUAUAUGUUAAGUGGAAAAGGAUGUGGCGUUGCCCAGACAACUAGGAUGUUGGCUUAGAAGCAGCCAUCAUUUAAAGAGUGCGUAAUAGCUCACUAGUCGAGUGACACUGCGCCGAAAAUGUACCGGGGCUAAACAUAUUACCGAAGCUGUGGAUUGUCCUUUGGACAAUGGUAGGAGAGCGUUCUAAGGGCGUUGAAGCAUGAUCGUAAGGACAUGUGGAGCGCUUAGAAGUGAGAAUGCCGGUGUGAGUAGCGAAAGACGGGUGAGAAUCCCGUCCACCGAUUGACUAAGGUUUCCAGAGGAAGGCUCGUCCGCUCUGGGUUAGUCGGGUCCUAAGCUGAGGCCGACAGGCGUAGGCGAUGGAUAACAGGUUGAUAUUCCUGUACCACCUAUAAUCGUUUUAAUCGAUGGGGGGACGCAGUAGRAUAGGCGAAGCGUGCGAUUGGAUUGCACGUCUAAGCAGUAAGGCUGAGUAUUAGGCAAAUCCGGUACUCGUUAAGGCUGAGCUGUGAUGGGGAGAAGACAUUGUGUCUUCGAGUCGUUGAUUUCACACUGCCGAGAAAAGCCUCUAGAUAGAAAAUAGGUGCCCGUACCGCAAACCGACACAGGUAGUCAAGAUGAGAAUUCUAAGGUGAGCGAGCGAACUCUCGUUAAGGAACUCGGCAAAAUGACCCCGUAACUUCGGGAGAAGGGGUGCUCUUUAGGGUUAACGCCCAGAAGAGCCGCAGUGAAUAGGCCCAAGCGACUGUUUAUCAAAAACACAGGUCUCUGCUAAACCGUAAGGUGAUGUAUAGGGGCUGACGCCUGCCCGGUGCUGGAAGGUUAAGAGGAGUGGUUAGCUUCUGCGAAGCUACGAAUCGAAGCCCCAGUAAACGGCGGCCGUAACUAUAACGGUCCUAAGGUAGCGAAAUUCCUUGUCGGGUAAGUUCCGACCCGCACGAAAGGCGUAACGAUUUGGGCACUGUCUCAACGAGAGACUCGGUGAAAUCAUAGUACCUGUGAAGAUGCAGGUUACCCGCGACAGGACGGAAAGACCCCGUGGAGCUUUACUGUAGCCUGAUAUUGAAAUUCGGCACAGCUUGUACAGGAUAGGUAGGAGCCUUUGAAACGUGAGCGCUAGCUUACGUGGAGGCGCUGGUGGGAUACUACCCUAGCUGUGUUGGCUUUCUAACCCGCACCACUUAUCGUGGUGGGAGACAGUGUCAGGCGGGCAGUUUGACUGGGGCGGUCGCCUCCUAAAAGGUAACGGAGGCGCUCAAAGGUUCCCUCAGAAUGGUUGGAAAUCAUUCAUAGAGUGUAAAGGCAUAAGGGAGCUUGACUGCGAGACCUACAAGUCGAGCAGGGUCGAAAGACGGACUUAGUGAUCCGGUGGUUCCGCAUGGAAGGGCCAUCGCUCAACGGAUAAAAGCUACCCCGGGGAUAACAGGCUUAUCUCCCCCAAGAGUUCACAUCGACGGGGAGGUUUGGCACCUCGAUGUCGGCUCAUCGCAUCCUGGGGCUGUAGUCGGUCCCAAGGGUUGGGCUGUUCGCCCAUUAAAGCGGUACGCGAGCUGGGUUCAGAACGUCGUGAGACAGUUCGGUCCCUAUCCGUCGUGGGCGUAGGAAAUUUGAGAGGAGCUGUCCUUAGUACGAGAGGACCGGGAUGGACAUACCUCUGGUGUACCAGUUGUCGUGCCAACGGCAUAGCUGGGUAGCUAUGUGUGGACGGGAUAAGUGCUGAAAGCAUCUAAGCAUGAAGCCCCCCUCAAGAUGAGAUUUCCCAACUUCGGUUAUAAGAUCCCUCAAAGAUGAUGAGGUUAAUAGGUUCGAGGUGGAAGCAUGGUGACAUGUGGAGCUGACGAAUACUAAUCGAUCGAAGACUUAAUCAA